CUUUUGUGCCGCCGCCGCCGUGAGGCUCCGGAGCGGCUGAGGCGGGCCGGGCUUCUCCCUCAGCUCGCCGCCAUGGGGGCAAGGAGCGGCUCGGGCGGGCCGGGCUCCUUCAGCUCGCCGCCGUGAGGCUCCGGAGCGGCUGAGGCGGGCCGGGCUUCUUCCUCAGCUCGCCGCCAUGGGGGCAAGGAGCGGCUCGGGCGGGCCGGGCUUCUUCCUCAGCUCGCCGCCAUGGGGGCAAGGAGCGGCUCGGGCGGGCCGGGCUCCAUCAGCUCGCCGCCAUGGGGGCAAGGAGCGGCUCAGGCGGGCCGGGCUCCCUCGCCAUGAGGGGCCGCCGCCGCCAUGAGGCCUUCAGCCGGUGGGGGGAUCGCGGUGACCCGCAGCUGUCGGUGGCCGGCAGCAGCCCUGAGGUGGCCCGACCUUGUCGUGUGUGAAACGCCCAAGCUGUGCUGUGCUGUGCUGGGACAGCCAAGGAGGCUCUCCAGGAGGGCACUUGAACCUGUGGAGAGGAGAUGAGAAGGAAUAACCUGCCCGUGAGAGACAGGGAGAGCUCUGGAGCCACGCGGGUGAGGUAAAUUGUUGGUGUGAGGCUUGCUGGAGCAGCAGGAGUGGUCAGAAGUAAAGCUGUCGAUGCUGCUUUGAAGAUCCUUGUUUGAAAGGUAUUGAGAAGAUGGAAACCUGGAGCCCACAGUUUAAAUGGGGCAGCUGGAGAAGAAUUUGUUUUCAGGAUGUGGAUGUAGGAAUUGGGAACAUCAAAGGUGAUUUGGGGCAAAGUAUAACAAGAAUUAUGUGUAGAGUUUAUUGUUAAUCUCCUCUCAUUGUUUUUUUGGAAAUACAUUUUUAUAUGACCUCAAUUAAACGUAUUUAUAUUUAA